rnacentral:rRNA from 1 species
AUUGAACGCUGGCGGCAGGCCUAACACAUGCAAGUCGAACGGUAACAGGAAACAGCUUGCUGUUUCGCUGACGAGUGGCGGACGGGUGAGUAAUGUCUGGGAAACUGCCUGAUGGAGGGGGAUAACUACUGGAAACGGUAGCUAAUACCGCAUAACGUCGCAAGACCAAAGAGGGGGACCCUCGGGGCUCUUGCCAUCGGAUGUGCCCAGAUGGGAUUAGCUUGUUGGUGGGGUAACGGCUCACCAAGGCGACGAUCCCUAGCUGGUCUGAGAGGAUGACCAGCCACACUGGAACUGAGACACGGUCCAGACUCCUACGGGAGGCAGCAGUGGGGAAUAUUGCACAAUGGGCGCAAGCCUGAUGCAGCCAUGCCGCGUGUAUGAAGAAGGCCUUCGGGUUGUAAAGUACUUUCAGCGGGGAGGAAGGGAGUAAAGUUAAUACCUUUGCUCAUUGACGUUACCCGCAGAAGAAGCACCGGCUAACUCCGUG